AUUGAACGCUGGCGGCAUGCCUUACACAUGCAAGUCGAACGGCAGCACGGGAGCAAUCCUGGUGGCGAGUGGCGAACGGGUGAGUAAAGUAACGGAACGUGCCCAGUCGUGGGGGAUAACGUAGCGAAAGCUACGCUAAUACCGCAUACGAUCUAUGGAUGAAAGCGGGGGACCGUAAGGCCUCGCGCGAUUGGAGCGGCCGAUAUCAGAGUAGGUAGUUGGUGAGGUAAAGGCUCACCAAGCCGACGAUCUGUAGCUGGUUUGAGAGGACGACCAGCCACACUGGGACUGAGACACGGCCCAGACUCCUACGGGAGGCAGCAGUGGGGAAUUUUGGACAAUGGGCGCAAGCCUGAUCCAGCAAUGCCGCGUGCAGGAUGAAGGCCUUCGGGUUGUAAACUGCUUUUGUACGGAGUGAAAAGGCUCUCUCUAAUACAGGGGGCUCAUGACGGUACCGUAAGAAUAAGCACCGGCUAACUACGUGCCAGCAGCCGCCGUAAUAC
rnacentral:rRNA from 1 species